rnacentral:rRNA from 1 species
UGAGGAAUAUUGCGCAAUGGGGGCAACCCUGACGCAGCAACGCCGCGUGAGUGAGGAAGGUUUUCGGACCGUAAAGCUCUGUCGAGCGGGAAGAAAUGCAUGGUGGCUAAUAUCCAUCAUGCUUGACGGUACCGCUAAAGGAAGCACCGGCUAACUCCGUGCCAGCAGCCGCGGUAAUACGGGGGGUGCGAGCGUUGUUCGGAAUUAUUGGGCGUAAAGAGCGUGUAGGCGGCCGAAUAAGUCAGAUGUGAAAUCCCUGGGCUUAACCCAGGAAGUGGAUUUGAAACUAUUGGGCUGGAGUAGGGGAGAGGAAAGUGGAAUUCCUGGUGUAGAGGUGAAAUUCGUAGAUAUCAGGAGGAACACCGGUGGCGAAGGCGACUUUCUGGCCCUAUACUGACGCUGAGACGCGAGAGCGUGGGUAGCAAACAG